rnacentral:sRNA from 2 species
CGAUAGGGAGCUAAUAUGGCGUGGGCCUUAGGUAAGCUUGCUUUUCCGUUGUUUUUGGGUUUAUUUUAAAUUAUGUUUUCUGUGUGUUGGGGUUUGUGUUUUCUAUAUGGAUAUAGUAUACCAUUGCGAAUAGACAUGUGUACAUACAUACAUACAUGCACAGAACAGUUGAUCUUUCUCAGUUCCCAAGUUCCUCCGUCCACUUUCACUCUAUCUCUCCGCUGUAUCCCAGUCCCAUGUAGAUAUAUACAUAUGCAUACAUUACGUUAGAAAUAUCAAGUCAGUCCAUUCUUCACAACAAGCCACCCUUCCCCCUCCUCGUCAACCGGCCAAAUAACAGGGAUGGCCCUUCUCUUCUUCACCUUUGCCUUUCUCCUCUUCUUCUUAACAGCCCCAUUUCUACUUGUUGCUACGUUCCUUUCACCCCUAACAAGACACCUAUCCCUUUUUCCCGUUUCAGCUAACCCUUCCCCUUCCGCUUUCCCUUUGCCUUGUUCUCCUAAUCCCUCGCUCAGACUAUCUACAAACUGCCUAACAACUUCCCACUUCCACCCCCGCCUCUCCAACUCCUCUCCCAAACUACCCUUAACACUCCCAUCCUCCAUCGCCCCCCAAAAAGUUGAUAUGACUCUCUUCUCUUCACCCCGUGGACAUCGCGAUAACACCACCCAACAGCGUUCCAUAUACGAUUCAAGAGUUUCGCCAGGCCCUUGUUGCGGAGCCUGGACUUCAUCUUCUUCUGCCUUUUCUAUACCCGCGUAUUCGAAUUUUCCUGAGGGUUGAGCUAUGGGGGAGCGGGGGAGUUGUGGUGGAGAGGUCUGGAAUUCGCAGUGGGCGGCAGCGGUUUGGUCGGGAUGUGGUGGUGGGGAUGCGGGUGGCAUGGAGUCUGGGACGAGGAUGGCAGAGUAGCCAUCCUGUGGUGCUUGUGGCGGGAGGGAGCUGCGGGUUAGUAUUGAGCUAGGGAGGUGGGUCAUUGUGGGCGUGCCAGAGAUUGUGGAUGGGAUGUUGUGUCUCUGGCGCUGUUGGCUGUGCGGAGCAUGAAGGAUGGGGGGU